CCCUGUGUAACUCCAGCUGUACUGGAGCUGUAAAUCCAAAAUCAUUACAAAACAAGCUUUGGGACACCCAGUGACUCCUUGCAGGCAGGGAUCAGUGUUUCUGGGACCUUAAAGGAAAUUUUCCUGAGAUUUAAUGUUUUCUCUUGAAACAAAAAAUGACAUAAGUGUUAUCUCCAGAUUUUUUCCAGAGCAGUGAAGUAAUUAAACUUCACUUAUUUUUCUAAGAUCAAGACUAAAACCUGAACUAAUCUAGUUUAACCUUCCCUUGUCCUUUAUCAGCUGGAAUGUGCAAUUAACUCCUGAGAACCUUUGAGUCAAUGUGUAUAUGAAGCAGAACAGCAUCUUCUGUUGGUGUCUGCCAUUGAUUUUUAACUGGGGUCAUGUUCCUCCCUGCCAGUAGAAAGGGGAACGAUGCACAGGGAACUCCUUGAGAUGCUUCAGGAAAAGGCAUCACCAGGAGUGAAGGAGCCUUAUUCUUGCAAGAGGAAGAAGAAAUGAAAUGUGCCUAUGACUAAUAAUACACUUUGCUUUCUUUCUGCUGAUUCUGAGCUAAUGCUUCCUAUGUUUAAACUGAUUUCCAAAUAUUUUGUGCAAGUUUUGGAAAUAAAUAAAACCUAAAUUUCUAGGUAUGAACUCUUAAAA